ACAGUCACACAUUAGAUACCCCCGUAGUCCUAGCCGUAAACGAUACUCGCUAGGUGUCGGCCACGGUGCGACCGUUGUCGGUGCCGUAGGGAAGCCGUGAAGCGAGCCACCUGGGAAGUACGGCCGCAAGGCUGAAACUUAAAGGAAUUGGCGGGGAGCACCACAACGCGUGGAGCCUGCGGUUUAAUUGGAUUCAACGCCGGACAUCUCACCAGGGCGACAGCAGAAUGAUGGCCAGGUUGAUGACCUUGCUUGACAAGCUG
rnacentral:rRNA from 1 species